ACACUGAAGGGUUGGCAGGGGACCAGAGAAUAGAGGAAGCAUUGUAGGUUCUAGAGUGGAGAAGGGACCAUCCAAAAUGGAGUUUGAAAGAGAAUUCUGGCCUUUGUGUUUAGAGUCUGGAAUUGUUAAGAGUCUGAAGGCACAGAAUAAGACUGCAGCUAGAGCAAUUUAGGCGCCAUAGUUUGUCAAAACAGAGAUGGGAUCUCACUGUGCUGCCCAGGCUGGUCUCGAACUGCUGGACUCAAGUAAUCCUCCCAUCUUGGCCUCCCAAAGUGCUGGGAUUAUAGUGGACAACCUUGAAUGCACUGGUACUUUGUACCCUGACCUCUACUGUAAUGAAAACUCAACUUGGGCAAGGAAGUGAAAUUCUCCAAAGACAAGGUCUUGCUCUGUCACCCAGGCUGGAGUGUGGCAGCGCCAUCACGGCUCACUGCAGCCUUGACCUGCCAGGCUAACCGAUUCUUCCACCCCAGCCUCCCAAGUAGCUGGGACCACAGGAAUUAUUAAGAUAAGGACCAGCAGUACAAUGAGCUUUUCACUGUAUGUCUGACCUGAAAGAAGAAAAUCUUUUCAGAGGACUCCUCUCUCCCCUUCAGUCACCAAGACAAUGAGAGCUCUUGCUAUAGACUACUCAUGGUCAUUUCUUCCCC
rnacentral:antisense_RNA from 1 species